UACGAAAGGGGCUAGCGUUAUUCGGAAUUACUGGCCGUAAAGCGCACGUAGGCGGCCUUGUAAGAUGGGGGUGAAAUCCCCGGGCUCAACCCGGGAACUGCCUUCAUGACUGCAAAGCUUGAGGAUGCGAGAGGUUAGCGGAAUUCCGAGUGUAGAGGUGAAAUUCGUAGAUAUUCGGAAGAACACCAGUGGCGAAGGCGGCUAACUGGCGCAUUUCUGACGCUGAGGUGCGAAAGCGUGGGGAGCAAACAGG
rnacentral:rRNA from 1 species